GACGAACCGUCCAAACGUUAUUCGGAAUUACUGGGCUUAAAGGGUGCGUAGGCGGCGCGGAAAGUUGGGUGUGAAAUCCCUCGGCUCAACCGAGGAACUGCGCCCAAUACUACCGUGCUUGAGGGAGAUAGAGGUGAGCGGAACUUAGGGUGGAGCGGUGAAAUGCGUUGAUGUCCUAAGGAACACCGGUGGCGAAAGCGGCUCACUGGAUCUCUUCUGACGCUGAGGCACGAAAGCUAGGGUAGCGAACGGG
rnacentral:rRNA from 1 species